rnacentral:lncRNA from 1 species
CUCUAAUUAGGAAGAGAUGCACGUCAGCCACCAGCUGCAUGAGCUGAUUAGUGAGCACAGAGAGAGAAUGCUGCUGAACAGGAUUGAUUUGUCUGAGCUGACCCAUCUCACCUGAGAGCUGGAGUUGCAGGAAGGCACGAGGCAGGAAUUGGAGUCAGAAGGCAAAUGGCAAGUGCAGAUUUAUGGAAUGACACAGGAAAAUAUUGAAACCUUUGGUGCCUGUGAGGGGGUUUUCAGGUGUACAAAGGGUCUCCACAAACGAUGCACGUCACCUUCGAGGGGGUGGUCACCUGUGGGGAGACGUGGAGAAGAACGGC